UGGGAAGGAGAAAGAGCUUGCAGUGGGCUGCAGAAGCCUGCUGGGAGUAACGAGAAGGACUUUCCUUGAUUUUCAGGGGCAUCUUUGAGUCCGAAGCAGGGUGCAAGAGGCCGGCGCUGCAUGAAGGGCUGCACGUGUUCUUACACACAGACACACACGGAUCACGUGCCAGCCUGAAGGACUCCUUCCUGGCUGCUGAGUGCUUGGGAGAAAGAGCCAGGUAAAUGUUGGGAGAGGAAGAAGGAUAGAAGCCCAGCAGAGGGUGCUGCUAGAUGGGGAAAAAGGAAACAAGAGAGUCUAAAAACUGGAGAAAAAUUGAAGAACAGGAAUGAAUAACCUGUUUUUCAGCAUGUAAUGCAGCAAAUAUUACAUCAAGCAGGAGAAAUAAGCCUGUGUGUAGGAAAAACUUCUCUUCUGAAACCAGCUUUCAACUUUAGAGGGAAAUGAAUGCAAGGAAGAAACCACAUAAAUGCCUGGACUGUGGAAAGAGCUUCAACCAGAGAGCACAUCUUACUGUACACCAUAGAAUCCACACUGGGGAGAAACCCCAUCAAUGCCUGGAGUGUGGAAAGAGCUUCAUCACGAGUGGACAUCUUAAUAGACACCAUAGAACGCACACUGGGGAGAAACCACAGAAAUUCCUGGAGUGUGGAAAAAGCUUCUGCAGGAGAGGACAUCUUAAUAGACACCAUAGAAUCCACACUGUAGAGUAACCACAUAUACGCCUGGAUUGUGGAAAGAGCUUCAGCAGGAGUGGACAUCUUAAUACACACCAUAGAACGCACACUGGGGAGAAACCACAUGAAUUCCUGGAGUGUGGAAAGAGCUUCGGCACGAGUGGACAUCUUAAUACACACCAUAGAACCUACACUGGGGAGAAACCACAUAAAUGCCUGGAGUGUGGAAAGAGCUUCAGUACGAGUGGACAUCUUAAUACAAAUCAUAGAACCCACACUGGGGACAAACCACAUAAAUGCCUGGAGUGUGGAAAGAGCUUCACCUCUCGUGGAGCUCUUACUGUGCACCAUAGAACCCACACUGGGGAGAAACCACAUAAAUGCCUGGAGUGCGGAAAGAGUUUCAGCACAAGUGAAGAUCUUAAUACACACUAUAGAACGCACACUGGGAAGAAACCACAUAAAUGCCAGGAGUGUGGAAAGAGCUUCACCACGAGUGGAGACGUUAAUACACACCAUAGAACGCACACUGGGGAGAAACCACAUAAAUGCCUGGAGUGUGGAAAGAACUUCAGCACGAGGGGAGACCUUAAUACACACAAUAGAAUGCACACUGGGGAGAAAGCACAUAAAUGCCUGCAGUGUUGAAAGAACUUCAGAACAAGUGGAGACCUAUAUAGACACCAUAGAACCCACACGGGGGAGAAACCACAUAAAUGCCUGCAGUGUGGAAAGUGCUUCACCAUGAGUGGAGACCUUAAUACACACCAUAGAACCCACACAAGAGAAACCACAUAAAUGCCUGGAGUGCGGAAAGAGCUUCAGCAUGAAGGAAAUCUUUAUAGACACCAUAGAAACUACACUGCUGAGAAACCACAUAAAUGCCUGGAGUGCGGAAAGAGGUUCAGCACGAGUGGAGACCUUAAUACACACCAUAGAACCACACUGGGGAGAAACCACAUAAAUGCCUGGUGUGUUGAAAGAACAGCGUGGUGUAGUGGUUAGCAUGCUGGACUAGGACCGGGGAGACCCGAGUUCAAAUCUCCAUUCAGCCAUGAAACUAGCUGGGUGACUCUGGGCCAGUCACUUAUCUCUCAGUCUAACCUACUUCACAGGGUUGUUGUGAGGAGAAACUCAAGUAUGUAGUACAUCGCUCUGGGCUCAUUGGAGGAAGAGCGGGAUAUAAAUGUAAAAAUAAAUAAAUUAAAUAAAAGUGGAGACCUAUAUAGACACCAUAGAACCCACACUGGGGAGAAACCACAUAAAUGCCUGCAGUGUGGAAAGUGCUUCACUAUGAGUGGAAAUUUUUAUAAACAAUUUUUAUAAACAAUUUUUAGAACCCAGACUGGGGAGAAUCCACAUAAAAGUUCCAAUUGCAGAAGUACAAGUGCAAUAACUAGUCAGCAAGUCUGUACACAAUUGUCUGUCUGAAGCAGAGGUGUCUUGUUAUUCAUGAAUAACACAAAAAACUUUUUGAAUUUGAUCUUUGGAUCAAUUCUAUCCACUCUUCUAUUAAAUUCACUAUGGUCUCUAAUUUACAUAAAAUAGCAUUUUUGGACACAUACAUUAACAUAGGACAAGACAGGUCUAUCUUCUUUCAACUUCAUCGAAAACCUACAGACAAGAACAUGCUUCUCCAUUUUGAUUCAUGGCAUCCAGAUCAUUUACGGAAAGGACUUCCUUAUAGCCAAUUUUUACAACUAAAAAGGAAUGCUACUCAUCAUUUGGAUUUUGAAAAAGAGGUACACACUCUCACGAAUCAAUUGCAAGACAGGGGUUACCCGAAACAGAUCAUCAAUGCAGCCAAGAUAAAGGCAGAUCGAAUAAGUAGAAGCUGGCUUUUGGAGGAGAGACCGCACAAAAAUAAAAUGUCUAACCGACUCAUAUGGUCCUCACAUUUUACGCCCUUGAGCUUUACAAUCAAGAACAUCAUCCGACAGGAAUGGUGUAUUGUAAAAGACAUUCCAGGGUGCACAUUACCACCGAUUUUUGCCUUCAAAAAAACCAAAAGUAUUAGAAAUAUCUGACAAAAGCAGACAUGUAUGUGAAUCCAACUACAAAUGAACCCGUAAUGGGGUUCUAUCGGUGUGGUCAUUGCGCUGCUUGCAAACUAGCUGUGGAGAUAAAGGAAUUGUAUAUCACUCGGGAGAAACGUAAUGUUAAAUUGUCUUUCUUCGCCAAUUGCAGCAGCAAGAACAUUAUCUACAUGAUUACAUGCCCCUGUGGUCUUAAAUAUAUAGGCAAAAGCACUAUAUAUGCGGUUAGGACCAGGAUUCUAGAACAUCGGUCUAGAAUCAAAUACAAUGUUUUGGAGGCUCCCCUGAUGGAACAUUUUCGAUCUUGUUCACAUUCUCCUGAAGAUAUUAGGUUCAGUGUCAUCUUUAGACAUCCGCCUCGAAGAUUUGAGUAUGAGGACAUUGAUUCUUUUCUUCUUAAAAUGGAAUCCUUUUUUAUAUACAAACUCAAUACAGUUGUUCCCCAUGGUUUGAACUCAUCAUGCAAUUUGGCAGUAUUUCUUUAAGAUAUGUCUGGUUGAUGAGUAUACAUGUAGGAUAUACUGUGGCAUUUUCCCUGUUUUUGAUACUUAAGUUAUGUUUUUGAAAAUAAUUCCUGCAAAGGAUAUGAUAACACUUCCCCAAUGAAAUUGGUAUUUUGAGCAGAGUUACUAACAAUUUACAGGAUGACAAUAUCAUACAUUUUCUAGAGCCUUUGUGGCAAUAAUUUUGUGACAAUAUUUUUUGUGACAUAUAUCAGACUGAUUAUUACAGUCUGUAACAUUUUAGAAUUAUGUUUCUAUUAACUGGCAAGUUUCAUGGUUUUUGUGAGCCAAGCAUUAUGUUCAAGGUCAUUGUUGAUGACUGAUAAAGUAGACAUACUGUAACAUACGUAAAAUGAGAGUGUUACACACCAUUUUGUUUUAUAAAAGUGGGCACACUUUAUUCUGAUAUAUGAAUUUGGGAACUAUAGUCCUUAUGCCAGUAUAAGCUGUUGAUUAUUGAAUUUUUCUGGGAAUGUUAACAAAUGCGUUCACAGAUGGUUGUUUUUAAAGUGAGAACUAACAGUAGAUUAUUGCAGAUUGACUACAGUAUGUUAUUGGUGAAUGUAUCAUGUCAGGAAUGUCAACAAGCAGUAAUUAUAGCUGCUUUUUUUAAAGUAAGAACCAACAGCAAUGAUGUUUCGAUAUUACAUUCCAUUGAGAAUGUUAACAACUACUGUUACAUGUACUUGGUCUUUUAAAAUAAGAGUUACUAGCAGGUCAAUAAUGAUUGUUAUAGGCAUUUGUUCUCCUAAAGUAAGAGUUAACAACAGAUUGAUGUAUUGUGUUGACUAUAGUAUCAGCAUAAGUGUGCCGACAAUGUGAAUGAUUUACUCUAUGAAUAACAGACCACAGCUGUUUUGUUUAUGGAAUUAACCACUCAGUGUGAUUAAAGUGAUACUCCCUGCUAAUCACCACACCUUCAAGUAGCGGGCUAUAUAAUGCUAAUCACCAUGCCUUUAAUUAGUGGGCUAUAUAAUACAGAGCCCCAUGAGCUGAUUAGCCAUUGAAUGAUUUGUCUUCCCAAAGUGAGAUGUAGGAGGAUAGAGCUCUCAAAAAAAAUACUUUUGGAGGAAAUGGGUAUGUGCUAAUGGGCGUAUAGAGAGGAGGUUUUGGAUGACAUUAUGAUGUUUGUUGGAUGAUGUAAUCAGCUGCAGAACUGUUCUUGUGCUCACACUUCCAGAAGCUUUGCAGCUCUGAUGAAGAAUGUUUGAAAUGGGCUGGAGAAUUUCCUGGGUUCGCCCAUCAGCUCUGCUAGCUCUGCCUCAGACAGACAAUUGUGUACAGAUUUGCUGACUAGCUAUUGUAAUUGUUAUUUCUGCAACUGGAACUUUUGCAGUUUAUUUUCAUGAAUAACAAGACAGCUCUGCUUCAGACAGACAAUUGUAUACAGACUUGCUGACUAGUUAUUGCACUUGUACUUCUGCAAUUGGAACUUUUGCAGUUUUUUUUCAUGAAUAACAAGACUUUCCUGUACCAAUUGAUCAUUUGGAUGUUCAGGACCUACGUUUACCAUGUACUAUUUACACUUAUUGCAUUUAUGCAGUUAAAGUUCAAGUGAUCUGUAUAUCAAAAACCCUUCGUGGUCUUUUUUUCCGCAUAUAUUCAAAAAAAUAAUAAUGGAUAUUUUCACAACA